GAUCCUGGCUCAGGAUGAACGCUAGCUACAGGCUUAACACAUGCAAGUCGAGGGGCAUCAGGAAGAAAGCUUGCUUUCUUUGCUGGCGACCGGCGCACGGGUGAGUAACACGUAUCCAACCUACCCUUUACUCGGGGAUAGCCUUUCGAAAGAAAGAUUAAUACCCGAUGGCAUAAUGAUUCCGCAUGGUUUCAUUAUUAAAGGAUUCCGGUAAAGGAUGGGGAUGCGUUCCAUUAGGUUGUUGUGAGUAACGG
rnacentral:rRNA from 1 species